CCUACGGGAGGCAGCAGUCGGGAAUCUUGCACAAUGGGCGAAAGCCUGAUGCAGCAACACCGUGUGAGCGAUGAAGGCCCUAGGGUCGUAAAGCUCUGUUGUUAGGGACGAAGGGCGAAGGGUUAAUAGCCCUUAGCCCGACGGUACCUUUCGAGGAAGCCCCGGCUAACUACGUGCCAGCAGCCGCGGUAAU
rnacentral:rRNA from 1 species